GACAUCCAGCGAACUUUCCAGAGAUGGAUUGGUGCCUUCGGGAACGCUGAGACAGGUGCUGCAUGGCUGUCGUCAGCUCGUGUUGUGAAAUGUUGGGUUAAGUCCCGNAACGAGCGCAACCCUUAUCCUUUGUUGCCAGCGAUUCGGUCGGGAACUCAAAAGGAGACUGCCGGUGAUAAACCGGAGGAAGGUGGGGAUGACGUCAAGUCAUCAUGGCCCUUACGAGUAGGGCUACACACGUGCUACAAUGGCGCAUACAAAGAGAAGCGACCUCGCGAGAGCAAGCGGACCUCAUAAAGUGCGUCGUAGUCCGGAUCGGAGUCUGCAACUCGACUCCGUGAAGUCGGAAUCGCUAGUAAUCGUGGAUCAGAAUGCCACGGUGAAUACGUUCCCGGGCCUUGUACACACCGCCCGUCACACCAUGGGAGUGGGUUGCAAAAGAAGUAGGUAGCUUAACCUUCGGGAGGGCGCUUACCACUUUGUGAUUCAUGACUGGGGUGAAGUCGUAACAAGGUAGGCGUAGCGAG
rnacentral:rRNA from 1 species